rfam:Triticum aestivum genome assembly, contig: Triticum_aestivum_CS42_TGACv1_scaffold_603356_7DL
UAUCUACUCCCUCCGUUCCGAAUUACUCGUCGCAGAAAUGGAUGUAUCUAGAAUACAUCUAGAUGGAUGUAUCUAGAAUACAUCUAGAUACAUCCAUUUCUGCGACGAGUAAUUCGGAACGGAGGGAGUAGCAU